rnacentral:rRNA from 1 species
GAUGAACGCUGGCGGCGUGCUUAACACAUGCAAGUCGAACGAUGAAGGGGGAGCUUGCUCCUCUGGAUUAGUGGCGAACGGGUGAGUGACACGUGAGCAAUCUGCCCCUGACUCUGGGAUAAGCGCUGGAAACGGCGUCUAAUACCGGAUACGAGCCGAGCAGGCAUCUGCAUCGGUUGGAAAGAACUUCGGUCAGGGAUGAGCUCGCGGCCUAUCAGCUUGUUGGUGAGGUAAUGGCUCACCAAGGCGACGACGGGUAGCCGGCCUGAGAGGGUGACCGGCCACACUGGGACUGAGACACGGCCCAGACUCCUACGGGAGGCAGCAGUGGGGAAUAUUGCACAAUGGGCGAAAGCCUGAUGCAGCAACGCCGCGUGAGGGACGAAGGCCUUCGGGUUGUAAACCCCUUUUAGCAGGGAAGAAGCGAGAGUGACGGUACCUGCAGAAAAAGCACCGGCUAACUACGUGCCAGCCGCCGCGGUAA